GAGCUGAAGUUGGAUGCUUAACCGAGGGAGCCACCCAGGCGCCCCUAGAAGUUUAUAAAAAUCACAUCGGCUGUCCCACCUCGGUUAUGUAGAACACAGAUCGGAGCCAUUCACGUUGAGCUCCCCACAGAUGUGGCAGGUAAGUUCUAGUGCAUAUAACAAGCAGACUGGCACUGAGGGAAAUGGGAUGAAUAAAGAUUUGUACAAACACACUCUGAGAGUUAGGACUGUGGAUUCCCCUGCAGGACCGCACCGGAGGUGAGAAGGUCGGUGGCCCAGUGCAGCCAGGUGACAGGUGGAGUCCAGCAGCCGGGCGGGCUGCUGUCUCAGAGGUUGCCGGCCCCAAGGCUGGGUCCGCUGAGAGAGGUGGAAACUUGGGCAGGUGUCACGGAGCGUGUGAAGAAGAACUAAAGACACCUCCAGGAGGGAGGAGGCAUCCUCAGGAGGAAGCUUGGAUCCUUCUUCUGCUCUAAUUCGGGAACUCCAGAGAGCCAGGAAGAUAGUUCAGAUCAAGACAGUUGACCUGAAGAAUCCACAACAAGGAGCUAAAGAGAAAGAGCUCACAUCACAUUUCUCAUCAAAUGUGUGAGCCUAAACCUAACUGAAACCCUCUUUGCUGCUCAAUUUAAUGAUGAAAAGCUUUUGUAGAAAGUGGUCCCAUUUUCUUCAGGCUGUUGCAAACUGUUGCUAACAGUUACAUUUUUGUUUUUAAUUUUGUGGGGAAAAUAUUCUCGAUUUUCUAAUUGAUAUUGGUUAUCUGGAGAGAAAACGGGUAUUUUUUUGCGCAGUGGACAUACUUCAUUAAAAACACAAUCUUGAGAUACUACUUUUUAA